UUAAGGGCGCACGGUGGAUGCCUUGGCACUAGAAGCCGAUGAAGGACGUUACUAACGACGAUAUGCUUUGGGGAGCUGUAAGUAAGCUUUGAUCCAGAGAUUUCCGAAUGGGGAAACCCAGCAUGAGUUAUGUCAUGUUAUCGAUAUGUGAAUACAUAGCAUAUCAGAAGGCACACCCGGAGAACUGAAACAUCUUAGUACCCGGAGGAAGAGAAAGAAAAUUCGAUUCCCUUAGUAGCGGCGAGCGAAACGGGAAGAGCCCAAACCAACAAGCUUGCUUGUUGGGGUUGUAGGACACUCUAUACGGAGUUACAAAGGACGACAUUAGACGAAUCAUCUGGAAAGAUGAAUCAAAGAAGGUAAUAAUCCUGUAGUCGAAAAUGUUGUCUCUCUUGAGUGGAUCCUGAGUACGACGGAGCACGUGAAAUUCCGUCGGAAUCUGGGAGGACCAUCUCCUAAGGCUAAAUACUCUCUAGUGACCGAUAGUGAACCAGUACCGUGAGGGAAAGGUGAAAAGCACCCCGGAAGGGGAGUGAAAUAGAACCUGAAACCGUGUGCUUACAAGUAGUCAGAGCCCGUUAAUGGGUGAUGGCGUGCCUUUUGUAGAAUGAACCGGCGAGUUACGAUUUGAUGCAAGGUUAAGCAGUAAAUGUGGAGCCGUAGCGAAAGCGAGUCUGAAUAGGGCGUUUAGUAUUUGGUCGUAGACCCGAAACCAGGUGAUCUACCCUUGGUCAGGUUGAAGUUCAGGUAACACUGAAUGGAGGACCGAACCGACUUACGUUGAAAAGUGAGCGGAUGAACUGAGGGUAGCGGAGAAAUUCCAAUCGAACCUGGAGAUAGCUGGUUCUCUCCGAAAUAGCUUUAGGGCUAGCCUCAAGUGAUGAUUAUUGGAGGUAGAGCACUGUUUGGACGAGGGGCCCCUCUCGGGUUACCGAAUUCAGACAAACUCCGAAUGCCAAUUAAUUUAACUUGGGAGUCAGAACAUGGGUGAUAAGGUCCGUGUUCGAAAGGGAAACAGCCCAGACCACCAGCUAAGGUCCCAAAAUAUAUGUUAAGUGGAAAAGGAUGUGGCGUUGCCCAGACAACUAGGAUGUUGGCUUAGAAGCAGCCAUCAUUUAAAGAGUGCGUAAUAGCUCACUAGUCGAGUGACACUGCGCCGAAAAUGUACCGGGGCUAAACAUAUUACCGAAGCUGUGGAUUGUCCUUUGGACAAUGGUAGGAGAGCGUUCUAAGGGCGUUGAAGCAUGAUCGUAAGGACAUGUGGAGCGCUUAGAAGUGAGAAUGCCGGUGUGAGUAGCGAAAGACGGGUGAGAAUCCCGUCCACCGAUUGACUAAGGUUUCCAGAGGAAGGCUCGUCCGCUCUGGGUUAGUCGGGUCCUAAGCUGAGGCCGACAGGCGUAGGCGAUGGAUAACAGGUUGAUAUUCCUGUACCACCUAUAAUCGUUUUAAUCGAUGGGGGGACGCAGUAGGAUAGGCGAAGCGUGCGAUUGGAUUGCACGUCUAAGCAGUAAGGCUGAGUAUUAGGCAAAUCCGGUACUCAUUAAGGCUGAGCUGUGAUGGGGAGAAGACAUUGUGUCUUCGAGUCGUUGAUUUCACACUGCCGAGAAAAGCCUCUAGAUAGAAAAUAGGUGCCCGUACCGCAAACCGACACAGGUAGUCAAGAUGAGAAUUCUAAGGUGAGCGAGCGAACUCUCGUUAAGGAACUCGGCAAAAUGACCCCGUAACUUCGGGAGAAGGGGUGCUCUUUAGGGUUAACGCCCAGAAGAGCCGCAGUGAAUAGGCCCAAGCGACUGUUUAUCAAAAACACAGGUCUCUGCUAAACCGUAAGGUGAUGUAUAGGGGCUGACGCCUGCCCGGUGCUGGAAGGUUAAGAGGAGUGGUUAGCUUCUGCGAAGCUACGAAUCGAAGCCCCAGUAAACGGCGGCCGUAACUAUAACGGUCCUAAGGUAGCGAAAUUCCUUGUCGGGUAAGUUCCGACCCGCACGAAAGGCGUAACGAUUUGGGCACUGUCUCAACGAGAGACUCGGUGAAAUCAUAGUACCUGUGAAGAUGCAGGUUACCCGCGACAGGACGGAAAGACCCGUGGAGCUUUACUGUAGCCUGAUAUUGAAAUUCGGCACAGCUUGUACAGGAUAGGUAGGAGCCUUUGAAACGUGAGCGCUAGCUUACGUGGAGGCGCUGGUGGGAUACUACCCUAGCUGUGUUGGCUUUCUAACCCGCACCACUUAUCGUGGUGGGAGACAGUGUCAGGCGGGCAGUUUGACUGGGGCGGUCGCCUCCUAAAAGGUAACGGAGGCGCUCAAAGGUUCCCUCAGAAUGGUUGGAAAUCAUUCAUAGAGUGUAAAGGCAUAAGGGAGCUUGACUGCGAGACCUACAAGUCGAGCAGGGUCGAAAGACGGACUUAGUGAUCCGGUGGUUCCGUAUGGAAGGGCCAUCGCUCAACGGAUAAAAGCUACCCCGGGAUAACAGGCUUAUCUCCCCCAAGAGUUCACAUCGACGGGGAGGUUUGGCACCUCGAUGUCGGCUCAUCGCAUCCUGGGGCUGUAGUCGGUCCCAAGGGUUGGGCUGUUCGCCCAUUAAAGCGGUACGCGAGCUGGGUUCAGAACGUCGUGAGACAGUUCGGUCCCUAUCCGUCGUGGGCGUAGGAAAUUUGAGAGGAGCUGUCCUUAGUACGAGAGGACCGGGAUGGACAUACCUCUGGUGUACCAGUUGUCGUGCCAACGGCAUAGCUGGGUAGCUAUGUGUGGACGGGAUAAGUGCUGAAAGCAUCUAAGCAUGAAGCCCCCUCAAGAUGAGAUUUCCCAACUUCGGUUAUAAGAUCCCUCAAAGAUGAUGAGGUUAAUAGGUUCGAGGUGGAAGCAUGGUGACAUGUGGAGCUGACGAAUACUAAUCGAUCGAAGACUUAAUC
rnacentral:rRNA from 1 species